GACGAACGCUGGCGGCGUGCUUAACACAUGCAAGUCGAACGGAAAGGCCCUGCUUUUGUUGGGUGCUCGAGUGGCGAACGGGUGAGUAACACGUGAGUAACCUGCCCUUGACUUUGGGAUAACUUCAGGAAACUGGGGCUAAUACCGGAUAGGAGCUCCUGCUGCAUGGUGGGGGUUGGAAAGUGUCGGCGGUGGGGGAUGGACUCGCGGGUUAUCAGCUUGUUGGUGGGGUAGUGGCUUACCAAGGCUUUGACGGGUAGCAGGCCUGAGAGGGUGACCGGCCACCUUGGGACUGAGAUACGGCCCAGACUCCUACGUGAGGCAGCAGUGGGGAAUAUUGCACAAUGGGCGGAAGCCUGAUGCAGCAACGCCGCGUGCGGGAUGACGGCCUUCGGGUUGUAAACCGCUUUCGCCUGUGACGAAGCGUGAGUGACGGUAAUGGGUAAAGAAGCACCGGCUAACUACGUG
rnacentral:rRNA from 1 species